rnacentral:misc_RNA from 1 species
AUCGAAUUCUGUAUCCAAUAUUAGUAGUAUCUGUACGUAUUCUGGAAUAAAAAGAUGAGCUAGCUAAGGUCGAUCAAUCACCAUGCAUGCAUGUGUGUGCAUCCAUGGUUGAUCGGCCCGGCCGGUCAGGCUAGCUAGCUUUCUUCUUCUUGUGUGUUCAUCUCGUACGUUUUGCUCCUUCUCGAGGUGUACGUGUACCAGAGAGAGCUAGCUAGAGAUUCUACAUGCAUGUACUGCAACUCCUUGUACUACGUGCUUGUUUUGG